GUACCCUACGGGGGGCAGCAGUCGGGAAUAUUGCGCAAUGGAGGAAACUCUGACGCAGUGACGCCGCGUAUAGGAAGAAGGUUUUCGGAUUGUAAACUAUUGUCGUUAGGGAAGAUACAAGACAGUACCUAAGGAGGAAGCCCCGGCUAACUAUGUGCCAGCAGCCGCGGUAAUACAUAGGGGGCAAGCGUUAUCCGGAUUUAUUGGGUUUAAAGGGUGCGUAGGCGGUUUUUUAAGUUAGUGGUUAAACGUCGGGGCUUCACCUUGAUUUGCCAUUAAUACUGUAAGACUCGAGUUCAGACGAG
rnacentral:rRNA from 1 species